CACGUAGGCACCAAGCGUUGUCCGGAUUUAUUGGGCGUAAAGAGCGUGUAGGCGGCCAGGUAGGUCUGCUGUGAAAACUCGAGGCUCAACCUCGAGACGUCGGCGGAAACCAUCUGGCUAGAGUCCGGAAGAGGAGAGUGGAAUUCCUGGUGUAGCGGUGAAAUGCGCAGAUAUCAGGAAGAACACCCGUGGCGAAGGCGGCUCUCUGGGACGGUACUGACGCUGAGACGCGAAAGCGUGGGGAGCGAACAGG
rnacentral:rRNA from 1 species